CCUACGGGAGGCAGCAGUGAGGAAUAUUGGUCAAUGGCCGGAAGGCUGACCCAGCCAUGCCGCGUGAAGGUCAGUGCCCUAUGGGCGUUAAACUUCUUUUGUGCGGGAGCAAUAAUGGUCACGUGUGGCCAGACGAGAGUACCGUACGAAUAAGCAUCGCCUAACUCCUUGCCAGCAGCCGCGGUAAUACGGGGGAUGCAAGCGUUAUCCGGAUUUAUUGGGUUGAAAGGGUGCGUAGGCUGUGAGGUAAGUCAGCGGUGAAAUGCCCCCGCUCAACGGGGUGAAGUGCCAUUGAUACUGCAUUGCUGGAAUGCGGAUGCCGUGGGAGGAAUGUGGGGUGUAGCGGUGAAAUGCAUAGAUAUAAGACAGAACACCGAUUGCGAAGGCAUCUCACGAAUCCGCGAUUGACGCUGAUGCACGAAAGCGUGGGUAGCAAACAGGAUUAGAUACCCGAGUAGUC
rnacentral:rRNA from 1 species